ACAAAAAAGAACAGAAGAGGAAAAGUCCAAGGAAGGGAGGGGGAGGAAGAGAAGGAAGUCAGGGAAGUUGAGGAAUGGAAAAUGAGGAGGAAUAGGCAUGAGGGAGACCUGAAGAGAGGUGCAUGGAGAGCAAGAAGAGGAAGGAAGGAUCAAGAGGAAUGGUAACCCCAACUUCAUGCUCCAGGAACAUGGGUGCCUGUAUCAUCAGAGAUUGGCCGACCAGCAUGCUGGUGAGGAGCUAGCCACUGUGAGUGGGACAGCAGGAAGUCUGCAGAUUCUACCUGCUUCUGACUCCAUAGGCUGGGGCAAUUUGUUUCUUGGAGUACCUGAGGACGGAAUCUAGGGUCUCACAUUUGCUGGGUUGCUUUUGGUGAGAGUGUUUAUCAUGGCAACAGAAAACACAAGGAGUCACAGAUGGUGCCCCACCCACCCUGAAGCUCCUCUGCACCCGUGGCUUAACUCAGCUUCUGGCCCCCUACAUCUUUCUGACCCAGGGUGUUCUCAAAGCAAUGGAGAGUGAGUAAAUGCCUGUGAGUCUCCAAAAGAGAAUUCCAACAGCAAGACCAAGAUAGGGACCAAGAAAUAGACCAGCUUGAUCACCUCUCUGGGAAGUUUCAAAGUAGUUUCUGCAAUUUCUCAGAGUCCCCAGCAAGACAGAACCCUAGUUACCCCAGGCAGGGGCAACUGGCUCACCUUUCACUGCUCCCUUGGCUGUCACACCAUCUCACUCCUUCUCCUUCCUCCUUGGAAUCCACGAACGAAUAAAUCACCUAAGUCCCA